rnacentral:rRNA from 1 species
GACAGAGGGUGCAAACGUUGCUCGGAAUUACUGGGCGUAAAGCGCGUGUAGGUGGAUUGGUGUGUCAGAUGUGAAAGCCCUGGGCUCAACCCAGGAACAGCACCUGAAACUACCAGUCUUGAGUGGUGGAGAGGGAAGUGGAAUUCCUGGUGUAGAGGUGAAAUUCGUAGAUAUCAGGAGGAACACCAGUGGCGAAGGCGGCUUCCUGGACACCAACUGACGCUGAGACGCGAAAGCGUGGGGAGCAAACGGG